rnacentral:tRNA from 1 species
GGGCCGGUAGAUCAAUGGUAGAUCGCCCGCCUUGCAAGCGGGAGGCUCCGGGUUCGAAUCCCGGCCGGUCCA